rnacentral:snRNA from 1 species
GUGCUCGCUUCGGCAGCACAUAUACUAAAAUUGGAACAAUACCGAGAAGAUUAGCAUGGCACCUGUGUAAGGAUGACACGCAAAUUCGUGAAAUGUUAUGUAUUUUU